UCGAGCGGUAAGGCCUUUCGGGGUACACGAGCGGCGAACGGGUGAGUAACACGUGGGUGAUCUGCCCUGCACUCUGGGAUAAGCUUGGGAAACUGGGUCUAAUACCGGAUAUGACCACAGCAUGCAUGUGUUGUGGUGGAAAGAUUUAUCGGUGCAGGAUGGGCCCGCGGCCUAUCAGCUUGUUGGUGGGGUAAUGGCCUACCAAGGCGACGACGGGUAGCCGACCUGAGAGGGUGACCGGCCACACUGGGACUGAGACACGGCCCAGACUCCUACGGGAGGCAGCAGUGGGGAAUAUUGCACAAUGGGCGGAAGCCUGAUGCAGCGACGCCGCGUGAGGGAUGAAGGCCUUCGGGUUGUAAACCUCUUUCAGCAGGGACGAAGCGUGAGUGACGGUACCUGCAGAAGAAGCACCGGCUAACUACGUGCCAGCAGCCGCGGUAAUACGUAGGGUGCGAGCGUUGUCCGGAAUUACUGGGCGUAAAGAGUUCGUAGGCGGUUUGUCGCGUCGUUUGUGAAAACCCGGGGCUCAACUUCGGGCUUGCAGGCGAUACGGGCAGACUUGAGUGUUUCAGGGGAGACUGGAAUUCCUGGUGUAGCGGUGAAAUGCGCAGAUAUCAGGAGGAACACCGGUGGCGAAGGCGGGUCUCUGGGAAACAACUGACGCUGAGGAACGAAAGCGUGGGUAGCAAACAGGAUUAGAUACCCUGGUAGUCCACGCCGUAAACGGUGGGCGCUAGGUGUGGGUUCCUUCCACGGGAUCUGUGCCGUA
rnacentral:rRNA from 1 species